rnacentral:lncRNA from 1 species
UCAGAUCAUGUACAAUUUAGUUCAAGAAUAUGAUAAGGCAACUAAACAUCUUUCUUUAAUAUUGGUCCCAUUGGGACAUCAAGUACACUGUGCAUUUAGUUUUUAAGUAUAUUCACAUGGAAAUGUCGCUUGUUGUCAUUUCAAAAAUCUUUGUCUGACUUGUCACUAGAAAACCAUUUUUUUCAUCUCUUACUAUUAAUAUCUUACCAACACCAAUAAUAAGGGGGGUUACACUUUACAUACCUUUUAAUCUUCGUAUGAUUACGGACCUAGAGGAGUGUUCGAGGUCACCCAGACUCCCUCAAAUUUUCAUAUCAAGUGUAAGUUUUGUUGGAUUUAUUUUAUAUAUAAGAUUAAUGGUCGUUAAGAUUCAGAUCUUGAUCUUAAGAUUUUAAGAUCCUACAAGCGAAAAACAAUCUAGAUCAUAUUAAGAUUUAUCUGAGGCAAGAUCUAUGAUCUUAAGAUCCUGACUAGGAUAUUAAGAUCUUAUCACGAUCUAAUCCCACCUCUUAGUUUUUUAUAUAGUCGUACCUCAAAAAUUCAUUUAUUCAACUUAAAAUAAAACGUCGCGAGUUGCAAGAAGUCUCAUAGAGUAUCACCACUUCACCGGUUCUUCUCGAAUUAGACAAAGUACAUUCGUGAGUCAUGAUAUUCCAUUUGUGAUCUUAUGCCUUUAGUUAUACAUGAUCCAAAUGAUCUUGUUACUUUUUUUAGUUAAUAUGUUUUCUUCCUAAUCUUUACGGUAUUCAGCAAAGAAAAUUAUGGUUCAUGAUUAAGAAAUUCAAUUUGAUUCCACAAUCGACAUCUUAAUCAAAAUCAAGUUAUAGUGUCUACAUCACACCAAAGACCUUGCAAGGAAAUUUGAAUAUGAAUUCAUUUUGGUAGAAUCUUUGGAUAUUAUGAUCACGAUCUUACAAAAUGUAAAACAAUAUUAGAUAAAAUUCCGAUCUUGAUAACUGUGGAUGUAAACCCUUAAAAAAUAUUUGCAACCCUAAAAAAAAUUAUGGGACCCCUGAUUUUUUUUCUAGGUUUUCCCAUGUUUGCAUGUAGAGGUAAGGAGAUAAGAAUCUACAAGUCUCAUAUUCAAGUUUUGACACCACCUUCCUUGCUAUAAGGACUAGUAGACUGCAUGAUUUAUCUCCUACAUCACCACAUGUUAGUGUGGAUGUUGAGUUGGGGAGUCCACUUUGCACUUUGACCUCAUUGCCACUAUUGAAACUUAGCCAUGGAGUUCCAAUUUUUGCAAUGCCAAGUCUGCAACUGUGGUGCACUUAUAAUGUAACGUAUGCGAUGCUCGAGCAACAAGAUUGUGGUGCAUGAGAAGGAGGUUUGUGGUGCUCGUACCAAUAUGCAUAUUUCAAAUGGCAACGUUUUGGGAUUGGCCCACAAAUAGUAUUAGUGCAACUCUUGUCAUUAUAAAUGAAUCUCAUUGUACAUUUGUAACCCUAAGAAAAAAUUGUGUGUAUGACGAUUGUAUUUCUACAAGUCUAAUAAAAAUCCUUCUUGUGUGUUCGUGGAAUGGCA